rnacentral:tRNA from 1 species
GUCGUCGUGGCCGAGUGGUUAAGGCGACAGACUAGAAAUCUGUUGGGCAUUUCUGCCCGCACAGGUUCGAAUCCUGUCGGCGACG